GAUGAACGCUGGCGGCGUGCUUAACACAUGCAAGUCGAACGGUGAUCUUGGGAGCUUGCUCUUGGGUGAUCAGUGGCGAACGGGUGAGUAACACGUGAGUAACCUGCCCCUGACUCUGGAAUAACUUCGGGAAACCGAAGCUAAUACCGGAUACGACACAGAGCUGCAUGGCUACUGUGUGGAAAGUUUUUCGGUUGGGGAUGGACUCGCGGCCUAUCAGCUUGUUGGUGAGGUAAUGGCUCACCAAGGCGACGACGGGUAGCCGGCCUGAGGGGGCGAUCGGCCACACUGGGACUGAGACACGGCCCAGACUCCUACGGGAGGCAGCAGUGGGGAAUAUUGCACAAUGGGCGAAAGCCUGAUGCAGCGACGCCGCGUGAGGGAUGAAGGCCUUCGGGUUGUAAACCUCUUUCAGUAGGGAAGAAGCGCAAGUGACGGUACCUACAGAAGAAGCACCGGCUAACUACGUGCCAGCAGCCGCCGCGGUAA
rnacentral:rRNA from 1 species